CCAGCUCCAAUAGCGUAUAUUAAAGUUGUUGCAGUUAAAAAGCUCGUAGUUGGAUUUCUGGUUGGGUAGUUUCUGCCCUCUUGUGAGUGCGCAGUAGUAUCCAUCCAUCCUUCUGUUAACCUUGCAGAUCUUCACGGGUCUGCUUGGGGCUCAGAUAUUUUACCUUGAGAAAAUUAGAGUGUUUCAGGCAGGCUAGCGCCGGAAUACAUUAGCAUGGAAUAAUAGAAUAGGACUUUUACCUCUUCUGUUGGUCUGAGGGGUUCAAGUAAUGAUUAAUAGGGAUAGUUGGGGGCAUUAGUACUUAACUGUCAGAGGUGAAAUUCUCGGAUUUGUUAAAGACUAACUUAUGCGAAAGCAUUUGCCAAGGAUGUUUUCA
rnacentral:rRNA from 1 species